rnacentral:snoRNA from 1 species
CUCCAUGAUGAUUUCUUUCCUACCUGUUUUAAUUAGACUCUGAGUUCAUCGUGACGAGACAACUUCACCUUGGAGAACUGAUGA